rnacentral:tRNA from 1 species
GCAGAAAUAGGUCAGUGAUAGACACGUGCUUAGCACGCACGAGGUCCUGGGUUCAAUUCUCAGUACCUCCA